CCUACGGGUGGCUGCAGUGGGGACUAUUGGACAAUGGGGGGAACCCUGAUCCAGCCAUGCCGCGUGUGUGAAGAAGGCCCUCGGGUUGUAAAGCACUUUCAGUGAGGAAGAACGCCUGGUGGUUAAUACCCAUCAGGAAAGACAUCACUCACAGAAGAAGCACCGGCUAACUCCGUGCCAGCAGCCGCGGUAAUACGGAGGGUGCGAGCGUUAAUCGGAAUUACUGGGCGUAAAGCGCGCGUAGGUGGCUUGAUAAGCCGGUUGUGAAAGCCCCGGGCUCAACCUGGGAACGGCAUCCGGAACUGUCAAGCUAGAGUGCAGGAGAGGAAGGUAGAAUUCCCGGUGUAGCGGUGAAAUGCGUAGAGAUCGGGAGGAAUACCAGUGGCGAAGGCGGCCUUCUGGACUGACACUGACACUGAGGUGCGAAAGCGUGGGUAGCAAACAGGAUUAGAUACCCCGGUAGUC
rnacentral:rRNA from 1 species